rnacentral:rRNA from 1 species
GAGUUUGAUCGUGGCUCAGGACGAACGCUGGCGGCGUGCCUAACACAUGCAAGUCGAGCGAAGAAACCCCUUCGGGGUGGAUUAGCGGCGGACGGGUGAGUAACACGUGGGUAACCUACCUCAAAGAGGGGGAUAGCCUCCCGAAAGGGAGAUUAAUACCGCAUAAAAGGUGAAUACCGCAUGGUAAAUACCUUAAAGGAGCAAUCCGCUUUGAGAUGGGCCCGCGGCGCAUUAGCUAGUUGGAGGGAUAAAGCCCCCAAGGCGACGAUGCGUAGCCGACCUGAG